ACUUGGAACACUUGAAGAGGUAUCAUUCAUGUGUAUAGAUGUUAUUACAUGUGAGUUAAGAAAUCAUUAGGCCUCAUCAGUUACAUGUGAUUUGACAUUCAGUUUUAUUUCUUUACCUCUAACCUUUGUAACUGAACCCAUAUUUUAUGCUCCUUAAUGACCAAUUCCUCAUAUCCAUAACUCCCUCAUUAAUCUUCUUUUUCUAUCUUGAAUGAAUGCAUUCCAUAACUCCCUCAUACACAAAAUCCUAGUCAUUCCAAUAGAUUUGACUCUAUUUUCACUCCGAUAUCAGCUUUUCUAGGUUAUCGACAAACAAUGGAGACGAGCACGAAUGAGCCCAGAAAGAAGACAUGGAGUACCCGGGAGAAGUCCCUAACCCGGUUGCAAAAUCAUGCCCCAGCUGCACUUCAACUGGAUGGAAUCGCAAAGAAGGUCAAGAUUGAUUCGACUCGGGCAGUGAUUCCUCUAUUGUCUCCACUAAUACUUUCCCCACCACGUCUAAUUGAGGCAAAAGAAAGCGAGUUAGCCUCUGGUGAAAAUGAUAAACAAGGUAGCAGCAAUAAGGAACAGGAUCCUUGGCAAAAUCAUGCAGUUGGUGCAAUGGCAGAACCUUCAACAUUGCACACUUUAUUCCAAUUCCAAUGUUCACUUGUUAAUAACCUUCAAUGAGUCUUUUUUGUUUAUAAUGGUUUGGUAUGUUCUAGGUAUAUUUUCACCUUGAUAGUGUUCGAUUAAUCAGUCCUUAAAUAGCAGGGAUGUUGAGGAAUAAUAAGAAAAGACGUCUCAAGAAAUUUU
rnacentral:lncRNA from 1 species